rnacentral:rRNA from 1 species
UAGGGAAUCUUCGGCAAUGGACGAAAGUCUGACCGAGCAACGCCGCGUGAGUGAAGAAGGUUUUCGGAUCGUAAAACUCUGUUGUUAGAGAAGAACAAGGACGGUAGUAACUGAACGGCCCCUGACGGUAUCUAACCAGAAAGCCACGGCUAACUACGUGCCAGCAGCCGCGGUAAUACGUAGGUGGCAAGCGUUGUCCGGAUUUAUUGGGCGUAAAGCGAGCGCAGGCGGUUUCUUAAGUCUGAUGUGAAAGCCCCCGGCUCAACCGGGGAGGGUCAUUGGAACCUGGGAGACUUGAGUGCAGAAGAGGAGAGUGGAAUUCCGUGUGUAGCGGUGAAAUGCGUAGAUAUAUGGAGGAACACCAGUGGCGAAGGCGGCUCUCUGGUCUGUAACUGACGCUGAGGCUCGAAAGCGUGGGGAGCAAACAGG